GGAGUGGGGGGGCAUGCAAGCAGGCGGGCUGGCUGUUCCGUCGUCCGCGCGCCCCCGGACUCGACUCCUCUCCGUCCGCGCGAUAAACUUGAUUAUGAAAUCUUGAUACAGAGAAUGGAUUUUGCUGUGGAUGGGGAGCACCAAGAUCUGAAAAAGAAAAAAAAAUUAUUUGCCCCUUUCCAAUACAGACUCCUUUUUCUUUCAUUCACCUCCUUCCCCCCAUUUCCAGCUUCAUCAAAGUAGAAGAAAUUGAAGUACAGUAGAUUUGGAGCUGGAAAAAAAUUUAGAUCAUAUAAUUCAAUCCCCUCAUUCUACAUAAGGAAACUGAAGCUACGAAGUUGUAACUGAAGCCCCAGAGGAGAGUCUCCACCUAGUGGCCAAAGACAAGCAAGGUUGCCUCUGAAGUUCAAUGUAAAGGAGAUUGAACCAUAUUUUGUUUUGUUUUUUUGGGGGGGAAGGUGGUGGUGACAGUGGCAAAGAAACAUAUAAGAAGAAAUUAGAAGAUAAAUUGGAAAAGAGGAUCCAUGCAUCGAUUACCCAGUCUUACCUCCAUUUCUCCAAUUCAUACAAGAUUCAUUCAUUAAAAAGUAUU